rnacentral:rRNA from 1 species
GAAUUUGCCUUUAGGAGGGGGACAACAACUGGAAACGGUUGCUAAUACCCCAUAUGCUUUCGAGUGAAACGGUUUUUCCGCCUAAAGAGAAGCUUGCGGCUGAUUAGCUUGUUGGUGAGGUAAUGGCUCACCAAGGCGGCGAUCAGUAUCUGGUUUGAGAGGACGAUCAGACACACUGGAACUGAGACACGGUCCAGACUCCUACGGGAGGCAGCAGUGGGGAAUUUUCCGCAAUGGGCGAAAGCCUGACGGAGCAAUACCGCGUGAGGGAUGACGGCCUAUGGGUUGUAAACCUCUUUUUUCAGGGAGGAAUCAAUGACGUGUACCUGAGGAAUAAGCAUCGGCUAACUCCGUGCCAGCAGCCGCGGUAAGACGGAGGAUGCAAGUGUUAUCCGGAAUCACUGGGCGUAAAGCGUCUGUAGGUGGUCCAAUAAGUCAACUGUUAAAUCUUGAGGCUCAACCUCAAAAUCGCAGUCGAAACUAUUAGACUAGAGCAUAGUAGGGGUAAAGGGAAUUUCCAGUGGAGCGGUGAAAUGCGUAGAGAUUGGAAAGAACACCGAUGGCGAAGGCACUUUACUGGGCUAUUACUAACACUGAGAGACGAAAGCUAGGGUAGCAA